rnacentral:rRNA from 1 species
CCUACGGGAGGCAGCAGUGGGGAAUUUUGGACAAUGGGCGAAAGCCUGAUCCAGCCAUGCCGCGUGCAGGAAGAAGGCCUUCGGGUUGUAAACUGCUUUAGUCUAGGAAAAAGGGAUGCCCGGUUAAUACCUGGGUGUUUUGAUGGUACUGGAAGAAUAAGCACCGGCUAACUACGUGCCAGCAGCCGCGGUAAUACGUAGGGUGCGAGCGUUAAUCGGAAUUACUGGGCGUAAAGCGUGCGCAGGCGGUCUUGUAAGACAGUCGUGAAAUCCCCGGGCUUAACCUGGGAACUGCGAUUGUGACUGCAAGGCUAGAGUGUGUCAGAGGGGGGUGGAAUUCCACGUGUAGCAGUGAAAUGCGUAGAGAUGUGGAGGAACACCGAUGGCGAAGGCAGCCCCCUGGGAUAACACUGACGCUCAUGCACGAAAGCGUGGGGAGCAAACAGGAUUAGAUACCCUGGUAGUCCACGCCCUAAACGAUGUCGACUGGUUGUUGGGUGGGUAACCACUUAGUAACGAAGCUAACGCGUGAAGUCGACCGCCUGGGGGAGGUACGGUCGCGAGAGUAAACGUACUAAUUAGAAGUAACGUUACGUUGAGAGNGCGACGGACGACGACGAGGGAGGAGG